UACGUAGGGUGCAAGCGUUGUCCGGAAUUAUUGGGCGUAAAGAGCUCGUAGGCGGUUUGUCGCGUCUGCUGUGAAAACUCGGGGCUUAACUCCGGGCCUGCAGUGGGUACGGGCAGACUAGAGUGCGGUAGGGGAGACUGGAAUUCCUGGUGUAGCGGUGAAAUGCGCAGAUAUCAGGGGGAACACCGGUGGCGAAGGCGGGUCUCUGGGCCGUAACUGACGCUGAGGAGCGAAAGCGUGGGGAGCGAACAGG
rnacentral:rRNA from 1 species